rnacentral:lncRNA from 1 species
AUGCUGCUGGAGAGGAACCAUACUGAGCCCCGGGGCCCUCUGAUCCGUGGGCAAAUCUGUCUGCACACUCACGCCAAGACCCUGCUUCUGCUCUUGUCCAGGAAGCUGGGAACCUUCUCUUUGGAAAACCGAUGUUGGGAGCUCUCCCUCUCACCCCCCAGCUUCUCCCUCGGGGCCUCGGCAGCCCAGCAGUUGCUUCUCCUCCUCCCCUGGCUGAGAAGCUGGGAGAGGCUGACCUUGACCGUGAUGCUGAGGUGGAAGGAGACCCGGGGCAGGGCUCUGCGGGAGACGCCAGCCUUUGCUCUGCCCACUAACAGACUUAGAAGGCCCGCAACUGGGAGAAAGAGCGGCCACCAGAGGAAAAGGCAACAAGGGGAGCCCUGGAGGAGACUUGGAGACUUCUUUAGAGACCGGAAGGAAAUUCAAGCAGCACAAGCAGUCCAGUGACCUUUCCUUGAGAGAAUCAGCCUCCACCCAAUCCCAGCGCCUCUGCCCCUGGGAACAGAGAGACAAGCACCUCUCUGCUCCGGUGGUUCGUGACCUUCUCCAGAGGACGUGGGCCCUGGCGCUUCCUGUCCACUGGAAGAAGAGCUCAGCAUCUGCUGAGUCCAAAAUCAUGGCCUUUCAAAGACACUCCCUGAAACAGCAGUUGAACAAGAAAAGGACUCGCACAGCCACCAUCUGUCUGUUGACCUGAGG